rnacentral:lncRNA from 1 species
UUCUAGCACCUAGACAUACGAGCUGGGUCUUAACAUCGCAAUGCAGCCAUAGAUAUUGGCACGAAGACCCUUAAGAAACUUCCUAACCUUACAACUCUCAGGGGUGACCAUAAGCAGGGCAAACCUAGACAUCUGGAUGAAUCGUGUUGUAUACUAGGCAACGAUCAAAUUUUCCUGCGGGAGGUCCUAAAAUUCCUUCUCCUUCUUCUCUCGGACAUAGACAGGGAUGAAGUUUUCAAAGAACACAUCCAUUAAAACCUCCCAAGUAGUAGGAGUAGGUAGGACUUCCUUUUU